UACGGGGGGGGCAAGCGUUGUUCGGAAUUACUGGGCGUAAAGGGCUCGUAGGCGGCCAACUAAGUCGGAUGUGAAAUCCCCAGGCUUAACCUGGGAACUGCAUCCGAUACUGGAUGGCUUGAAUCCGGGAGAGGGAUGCGGAAUUCCCGGUGUAGUGGUGAAAUGCGUAGAUAUCGGGAGGAACACCAGUGGCGAAGGCGGCUUCCUGGCCUGUUCUUGACGCUGAGGCGCGAAAGCUAGGGGAGCAAACGGG
rnacentral:rRNA from 1 species